UAUGUAGCAAGCUUGAAAAUAUUUAGGCAUUCUAAGUUACAUGCAUUAGACCCGAAGCCAAGUGAUCUAUUCUUAAACAAGUUGAAGAUGUUUUAAAAUGCAUUGGAGGGCUGAACCCACGUCUGUUGAAAAAUACGGGGACGAUUUAAGAAUAGGGGUGAAAGUCCAAUCAAACUUGGUGAUAGCUGGUUUUCCGCGAAAACUAUCAAAGUAGUACGUUGCUUUUCAAAAAUGUGGGUAGAGCUACUUAUUAAACUUAGAUUUUGCUAAGUUUUAUUAAACUCCAAAUUAUAUUUUUAUUUAGCAGCAGACAGUCAUUAGGCGAUAAGGUUCAAUGUCAAAAGGGAAACAACCCUAAUCGAUGGUUAAGAUCUUAAAAUUAUGAAUUAGUGAAAAAAUGAAAAGUAAUUCGAAUAAACAGAGUAGGCUUAGAAGCAGCCAUCUAUUGGAGAAAGCGUUUUAGCUCAUUAUUUUUACUUAUUUUACUCAUUUAAAAUGUAAGGAGACUUAAAUUCAUAUAUCGAAGCUUCGAAUUAAGUUUAAUUUUUCUUAAUGGUAGCGGAACGUCCUGUAGUCUUUUCUGUUAAUGUUAAAUUGCAUAUUAAAAAUCAGGAGUGCUAAUGCUGACAUGAGUAGCGUCAACCAUGUUGAAAAUAAAUCAUGGUCGUCUAUUGCUCAAGGGUUUCCAGUAAAUUUUAAGUAACUGGGUUUAGUCGGCCCUUAAAAAAAAAGUGAAAACUGUACUUGAUAGGAAAAUUAUUCCGCAUGUUUGCAAAAUAUUUUUGUGUAAAAAAGUACUUUUAAAAGUUUUGCUUAAUAAACUAGCAACUUAAAAAAAGUAUUUUUCAGGAAAAUUUGCAUGAAGUUUGACCGUACUUAGAACCGACACAGGUGAGCUUAUUGAGAAGAUAAAGACGAAUGAGAUAAUUAUACUUAAGGAACUCGGCAAAUUUGCUCCGUACGUUCGCAACAAGGAGUACCUUAAAGGAUUCAAAAAUUAGGGGUAGCGACUGUUUAACAAAAACUCAAAACUUUGCAAAUUCGAAAGAAGACGUAUAAGGUUUGACGCCUGCCCAGUGCUUGAAAGCGAAAAAUACACGUUAACGCUUGUAUCAUAAACUCAAGUAAACGGCGGUCUUAACUAUAAGGAUCCUCAGGUAGCGAAAUUCCUUGGCGGGUAAAUUCCGUCCUGCAUGAAUGGCGUCACGACUACCCCACUGUCUCUAGUAUAAACUCAGCGAAAUUACAUUGUCUGUGAAAAUGCAGACAUCCUACAACAAGACGGAAAGACCCUAUGAUUCUUAACUAUAAUUUUACGUCGCAAUAAUUUUGUGUACAGUACAGUAAAAGUAGGAGUAUACUUAUACAAUUUUGAAAAACUACUCUGUACAUAAGAAAUUGCUUACUGAAGAGAAAAUAUGUAAAAGUGGUAGUUUACUUGGGACGAGGACCUCCUAAACUGUAACGGAGGUGCACAAAAGUAAAUUUUAAUUAGUUUUUUGUAUUAAUAAAAUAUGUAAUGGUAAAAAUUUGCUUGACGGUAAGAGUUACAACUCAAACCGGGACGAAAGUCGGUCAUAAUGAUCCGGCAGUAAUGUAUGGAAAUACUGUCGCUUAUCGGAAAAAAGAAACUCUAGGGAUAACAGAUUUAUCAUGGCUGAGAGUUCUUAUCGACGCCAUGGUUUGAUACCUCGAUGUCGGCUCAUCUUUUCCUGGAGCUGUAACAGGUUCCAAGGGUAUGGUUGUUCGCCAAAUAAUAAGAUACGUGAGCUGGGUUCAGAACGUCGUGAGACAGUUCGGUCCCUAUCUGUUGUGGGUAAGAAAAAACUAGAUUUAUCUUUAGUACGAGAGGAUUAAGAUAUAUUAACCAAUAGUGUAUCGGUUGUAUUGUUUCUUGCAUUGCCGAGUAGCCACGUUAACAUUAUAUAAGUGCUGACAGCUUAAAAGCACAAAAAUAAUCUUUAUUUUUUCAAGAACUUUCUAGAAGAUUACUAGAUAGAUCGGUUUAUUAUUUAAUACUUGUAAAAGUAAGUAAAUAAAUACGAAAAGUUCAUUAUAAUUUGUGUU
rnacentral:rRNA from 1 species